AUACGGAGGGUGCAAGCGUUAAUCGGAAUUACUGGGCGUAAAGGGUACGUAGGCGGUUUGUUAAGUUGGAUGUGAAAGCCCUGGGCUCAACCUGGGAACUGCAUUCAAAACUGGCAGACUCGAGUUUGGCAGAGGCUAGUGGAAUUCCAGGUGUAGCGGUGAAAUGCGUAGAGAUCUGGAGGAACAUCAGUGGCGAAGGCGACUGGCUGGGCUAAAACUGACGCUGAAGUACGAAAGCGUGGGGAGCAAACAGGAUUAGAUACCCCAGUAGUCC
rnacentral:rRNA from 1 species